AAAGAGAGUGAGAGAACGAAGGUAAUGACUUACAAAACAAUCGCAGGCCGUCUUGGUGGUGCAGAAAGUGCAAAGAUUUAGAAGCAGAUCAGCCAACAGCAGCAGACAAUAGGUAUGCCUUUCGUAUUGUUCCUAGCUCUUCAGUAGUGUCGAACGAUAGACAAAUAGGCAAAGUUUGCGCAAGCAGCACAGACAAAAUCGAAGUGUCUUCGAUCGAUUGAUCAAGGCCGUCGUUUGGUGAUUGUUCGUCUGAUUACGACAGAGUGGUCGUCGAUCUAUUGCAAAGUGGUGCUGUUGCCGACGUGAAAAGUUCACUGCAGUGGAAGAGCCAAAAGAAAAAUCAUCUUUGUUUACGUUACAAAUCUACGCCUCUUUAUUUCCAUACAUGGCUUAAUUUGCUGGGCCACAAAUCGGCAGUGGUGAUAUCAACUUUUUUUCUUCUUCGAUUUUCUUAUCAGCAAGUGAUAGUGCGUUGUCGAUUUUUGAAUACCAUGGAAUUCUGAAAGCGCGCGCAGAGAUAAUAGUGGCUAUCUGCUUGAGAAGAAAGGUUGGUUGCGUUGCAAAUAGCGGAAAAUAAGGUGUUAAUAAAUUAUGCGUUGGAUCGUCAACCUUGAGGGUGGCCCAAGACGAGUGAAUCAUGCCUCGGUCGCCGUGGGGGACUACAUCUACUCGUUCGGUGGCUACUGCACGGGUGAGGAUUAUCGUUCGACCAGUGCCAUCGAUGUGCACAUCUUGAACACGAACAAUCUGCGCUGGGUGCUUGCCCCAUCGAUGAAGGAUGAGUACGGGGAACCGUGCAAACAUCCAGCAGUACCUUUUCAACGGUACGGCCACACGGCCGUAGCUUUCGAGGGAAAGGUUUACCUCUGGGGAGGACGAAACGACGAAAUAGUGUGUGAUAUUCUGUUUUGUUUUGACACAAAAACGCUUAAAUGGAGUACACCCCCUGUUACUGGGCCGAUUCCAGGAGCACGCGAUGGUCAUUCCGCUUGCAUGUACGGCCAGCGGAUGUACAUUUUUGGCGGUUUCGAGGAGAACAUCGAUAGGUUUUCCUGUGAUGUGCACUAUUUAGACAUAGGGACGAUGCAUUGGAUGUACGUCAACACUCGAGGUGAUCCGCCUUCAUAUCGGGAUUUUCAUUCGGCCACGAUCGUGAACCACAAAAUGUUCGUUUUCGGUGGCCGAGGAGAUGCCUAUGGCCCAUAUCAUUCGCAGGAUGAAAUCUAUUGUCCAAAGAUAGUCUGUCUAGAUCUCAAAACCAGAUGCUGGGAGAUGCCGAAUACAACGGGCGCAGAACCGCUGGGAAGACGAAGUCACUCGGCUUUUAUAUAUAACGACAAAAUCUACAUUUUCGGAGGUUACAACGGAAACUUAGAUGUACACUUCAACGAUCUCUACUGCUUCGACCCGGAUCGUUACGUGUGGCGGCUGAUUCGACCACAAGGACAAUCACCAAUGGCACGACGACGACAGACGUGUUUGGUUAUCGGUCAGCGGAUGUACCUUUUCGGUGGAACACGCCCCUCGGCCCUGGCGGAUUCAGCGUCUUACGAUUACAGUGAUACUCACGUGCUAGAUUUCAACCCGACCUUACGCACGCUUGCAAUGGUCAAGGUGCUGGAAUACAAGCUGGACAGCUCCUGUCUGCCGAGGACAAUCAAGACGGAGAUGCGCAACAUGACUAGUCCAAACAAAAUCACCCGAUCGCUAGUUAGCGGCUAGAAUCGACCUGAGCAUUCUGCUCAGUAUUGUUAAGCAAAGUUGGUAAAAUAUCAGUCACCUUCAUAACGAUCAGGACCGUUGAACCGUUCAUUGUGUAUACCAUAGCAGCGUGCUCCCCGGUUUAGUGAAGCUACAAGAAAAGUUAGUUAAGUUAGUUGAGUAAAAGGAUUGUAAAAGUGGAUAACAAAAAGGAAGUGAAAUUUAGUAAAGAUACGGUUGGUAGAAGCUAAAGAGGUACAGCAGGAAGAAGUUUGGUUAGUUUUAACACGAACGAAAUACCAACAGGCCCUAUACACCACCGAGGGGUGACAUCUGACGGUUGUCGUUGUCGUGAGUCCGAAGGCAAACUUCCGACCACUCACCACGUUGUGUCCAUCACCGUAGCCAAUCCGACUCACCCGCAGGCGGUUUGAGGAACCGCUGAAAACAACAGCCGCUGG